rnacentral:lncRNA from 1 species
AGCAUUAUUGCAGGUAUCUUGAAGGAGAGUUGAGCCCAGCUUUUCAAUUCAUACAGAUCCUUUCUCUGAAGAACCCCUUCCUGAUAUUGUCACUUUAACACAUCUCUGUGGUUUUAUUUUGAAAUUUUUAAAGGUACAGUCAUGUGCCGCAUAAUGACAUUCAGUCAAUGACAGACUGCAUAUAUGAGGUGGUCCUGUAAGGUGAUAAUGGAGCUGAAAAAUUCCUACUACUGAACGACAUCAUAGCCAUUGUAACAUCAUAGCACAACCAAUCACCUUUUCUAUAUUUAGAUAAGGAGUUCAUAUGCUGGAAUGAUAGUGACACAGGAGUUUAACACUCCUACAGUAUCCAGAGCCUGGAUCCCUGAGUCAUCAGAUGGAGAAGAACUACUCAGGAGAGUCAUCCAACCUUCAUAGACAGUGGCAUGAGUGGGAAUUAAACAUUGAUUAUGUU